AACGAACGCUGGCGGCAUGCCUAACACAUGCAAGUCGAACGAGACCUUCGGGUCUAGUGGCGCACGGGUGCGUAACGCGUGGGAAUCUGCCCUUGGGUUCGGAAUAACAGUUGGAAACGACUGCUAAUACCGGAUGAUGACGUAAGUCCAAAGAUUUAUCGCCCAAGGAUGAGCCCGCGUAGGAUUAGCUAGUUGGUGAGGUAAAGGCUCACCAAGGCGACGAUCCUUAGCUGGUCUGAGAGGAUGAUCAGCCACACUGGGACUGAGACACGGCCCAGACUCCUACGGGAGGCAGCAGUGGGGAAUAUUGGACAAUGGGCGAAAGCCUGAUCCAGCAAUGCCGCGUGAGUGAUGAAGGCCUUAGGGUUGUAAAGCUCUUUUACCCGGGAUGAUAAUGACAGUACCGGGAGAAUAAGCCCCGGCUAACUCCGUG
rnacentral:rRNA from 1 species